UACGGGGGGGUAAGCGUUGUUCGGAAUUACUGGGCGUAAAGGGCUCGUAGGCGGCCAACUAAGUCAGACGUGAAAUCCCUCAGCUUAACUGGGGAACUGCGUCUGAUACUGGAUGGCUUGGAUUGGGAGAGGGAUGCGGAAUUCCAGGUGUAGCGGUGAAAUGCGUAGAUAUCUGGAGGAACACCGGUGGCGAAGGCGGCAUCCUGGACCAAUAUUGACGCUGAGGAGCGAAAGCCAGGGGAGCAAACGGG
rnacentral:rRNA from 1 species